CCGAGUUUACAACUCCCAAACCCCUAUGUGAACGUUACCAAAAUGUUGCCUCGGCGGGGAAUUUAUUCAUGCCCCGGGCGCGUCGCAGCCCCGGACCAAGGCGCCCGCCGGAGGACCAACCAAAACUCUUUUGUAUGUCCCCUCGCGGGUUUUUAUAUCUGAGCCAUCUCGGCGCCUCUCGUAGGCGUUUCGAAAAUGAAUCA
rnacentral:misc_RNA from 1 species